rnacentral:misc_RNA from 1 species
GGUAUCCGUAGGUGAACUGCGGAUGGAUCAUUUUUCAACUCGAAAAUUGAUACAAAAUUGAACUUUGAUCUAUCUUGAAAAAGAAAGAACGGUUCUUUUUUGUUCCAUCUGCAAUCAAAAAACAUUGUUUACUGAUUUCUUUUUAAUUUAUAUAUUUUAAUAUAUCUUACUGAAUCUAUUCAAUAUUAAUCUCAAUAAAUUUUUUCUAGAAUGACAAACAAACAUUUAAAGAUGUUUAUAAGCUUUAAAUAACUAAAGCAUAAACGGUGAAUACCUCGACUCCUAAAUCGAUGAAGACCGUAGCAAACUGCGAUAAUUCACUUGAAUUGCAGCCUACUGGGAUAGUUGAAAUGUUGAACGCACAUGAUGGCAUUGGUCCUUUUGGAUUAAGUGUCAUACUUGGGUGAGAGCGAUCUCUAUAUUUAAUAUUAAAAUUUUAUUAAUUAAAUUUAGGUUUAGUGAACUAAUUUUAAUAUGAAGUUUAUUUAUUUAAACUUUUUUAUAGUUGAUCUACAGUAGUCUUUGCAGUGGUAUAAAGAAUAGUUUUAAACUAAACUUUAAUUAAACCAUUAUAAUAUUAUGUUUAUAUAAUUUAAACUAUAUAAUAACUAUUCAAUUGAAAAUGCGAAUCUUUAUUAAAGUUUAUUCAAAAGUUAUAUUUAUAAAAUAUUAUAAUUGGAUCAUUUUUAUGUUAAUUUAAUUAAAAUUAAAGCUAAUCAAUAUACAUUUAAACACUGAUUAAAGAAGUAACUUAUGAACAUUAAACACGAUAUGUUUAUCAUAUUGGUUCAACAGUUAUAUAUUGUCGCCUCAUCCAAGUAAGAUUACCCGCUGAACU